AUGUUUUGGGAUCCCUUACAGUGAGUUGUGUGAAAGGGAGAAUGCAUUCACAGGUGGAGUUGGUGGACCUAGGUUCUGGCAAAAGCUUAAUCACCGACAAGCUUUCCCCAUCCUGUUUUCUUGCUUGUGUAAAUGAUGGAGGCCAUGAACAGUCACUCACUUAUCUUAGAAUAUUUCUGGGAAGAACCAACACCCACUUAGUAAGAGUAAUUUGAGAUUUCAACUGAUCGGACCACCUCUGCAUAUUUUCUGAAAAAAAAAAUCUAGAUACACAGCGUCCUCUGCAUCAAGAUGGGAACACAGUGACCUUUAACCAACCACUCUGUUUCCAACCCCCUGCAAGUUCAUGCCAUUUCGAGACUGAGAGUCAAUCCACCCAGAGAAAAGAUAAGUGUUUUGUUUCUCAAAGCAUAGCUCAUUCCCCAAUAUUUUUAGCCACACCGAACAUAAUCAGUACCAAAGAUCAGUCUGUAAAUGAGGACAUUUGUCAGCAAAAUGCUGACAAAUUCUGGCUCUAGAUGUCUUGAAGCACAAUUAAAUUGACAUGUCUCAUUAAACAUUCUAUGAUGCAGGUGCUCCAUGGACUCACAAUCAGAUUCCGCGGUGGUGCUCAGGCAAAUUUCCAACCUACUGAAGUUAAAAGUAGCUCAACUGAAAAGGAUGUUUGAAAUAAAUCUGGGACAUGUUGGCAUGUGCAAGCAUCAUUUGCUAUCCCUCACUGUGGCCCACUGAUUUGAAGGAGGAGGCAGGCUGUCAGUUAUCUCUUAAUGAAAAGUCCUUGUAGAUGCAUUGCUAGGUGUGUGAGCCCAACAAGCAUGCUCAAUUAGCUUCAACCAUUGCAAAGCCCUUCUGGUGGCUCUAAUCUCAAGGAGACCUUGCUCCUACCCACUUAUCCAUCUGUCUGGUACAUAUUCCCAAACUUAGAAAAGCAUCUUCCACACUGGCAGGAUCAUCCUGGUGUAGAUGAUACUCAGGUAAAUUUGCAUUAACUGAAACAGAGUCAGUCCUGGCUCUGAUUGAGGGUAAGGUUUAUUGCAUCUUUCUGCUCUCCUCCCAUCUCUAUAUUAAUUAGUUUUUAAAGUUAUGUCUUCUUCAUUUUCUGGUCCACUACAAAAAUCUCUAUAUUGUGGAGUAAUGCUCAACUCUUGCUGAAUAUUACAAUCACCUGGAGAGAUUUAGCAAUGAAAUUCUCAAAGGAUAAAUAAAUAAGUCCCUUAUUUGAUGCUAAUAAAUUAUUUGAGCACACUUGGAUUUUAAGUGUGCUCCAAAGGCCUAUGCAUUACUGGCUUAGUCUGUGGCCUGUGGCAGUAUCAGGAGAUGGUGGAGUAUUUAUACAUUAUGGGCUUAAGGAAGGGAGUGAGGUCACUGAGAGAGUACAUUUGAAUGGGGUUUUGAACUCUGGUUCCUUCCUCUCUCUUUUUUCCUUUCUCGCCACUAUGAACAGGUUCUUCACCAUGCACUUUUCCACAAUAUUUUGUUUCAUGACAGCCCAAAGGCGAUGGUCUAAGUGACCAUGGACUAAAACAUCUCAAACCAUCUGC